ACAACUUUCUUCAGCAGCUGGAUCUCACACAGUUUGUCUCUCUGUCAAAGACAGCAGUAAAUGCAAUACGGAGUAAUGCAGGAUAAGUUAAAAAAUAGGAACUUAUCCACUGACAAAUUCUAUGCCUUCUUGGGACCCUAUUUGAUGACAAUACUGUGGUAUCAGAACUCCAUGACCAUCAGGCCUCAAGCCCUCCUCCAUCAUGUAAGGAUUUCAGAGUGACAGCCUUUCCUCACCGGAUCGUGGACAUCUAUCCAUUUAUUUGUCUUGGAUUCCACCAUCUGUCCAUCAAUAAACAUCUUGGUGGUGGGCUGCAAAGACAGACACAUGUCAGGACCCUCAUUUUGUCUGCAAGGACCCUUGAAAUUAACUGUUGGUUACCCUGGACCCCU